UACGUAGGUGGCAAGCGUUGUCCGGAUUUACUGGGCGUAAAGAGCGCGCAGGCGGCUGAUUAAGUCGAAUGUGAAAGCCCCCGGCUCAACUGGGGAGGGUCAUUCGAUACUGAUCAACUUGAAGGCAGGAGAGAGAAGUGGAAUUCCCGGUGUAGUGGUGAAAUGCGUAGAGAUGUGGAGGAACACCAAUGGCGAAGGCAGCCUUCUGGGCCAACACUGACGCUCAUGCACGAAAGCGUGGGGAGCAAACAGG
rnacentral:rRNA from 1 species